rnacentral:rRNA from 1 species
UACAGAGGGUGCAAGCGUUAAUCGGAGUUACUGGGCGUAAAGGGCGCGUAGGCGGUUAUUAAGUUUGAUGUGAAAUCCCUGGGCUUAACCUAGAACUGCAUUGAAUACUGGGUAACUGGAGUACUGUAGAGGGUAGUGGAAUUUCCGGUGUAGCGGUGAAAUGCGUAGAGAUCGGAAGGACACCAGUGGCGAAGGCGGCUACCUGGACAGAUACUGACGCUGAGGCGCGAGAGCGUG